GUACUGCGAAACUGCGAAUGGCUCAUUAAAUCAGUUAUCGUCUAUUUGAUAGUACCUUACUACUUGGAUAACCGUGGUAAUUCUAGAGCUAAUACAUGCUGAAAACCCCGACUUCGGAAGGGAUGUAUUUAUUAGAUUAAAAACCAAUGCCCUUCUGGGCUCCCUGGUGAUUCAUGAUAACUUCUCGAAUCGCACGGCCUUGCGCCGGCGAUGGUUCAUUCAAAUUUCUGCCCUAUCAACUUUCGACGGCUGGGUCUUGGCCAGCCAUGGUGACAACGGGUAACGGAGGGUUAGGGCUCGACCCCGGAGAAGGAGCCUGAGAAACGGCUACUACAUCCAAGGAAGGCAGCAGGCGCGCAAAUUACCCAAUCCCGACACGGGGAGGUAGUGACAAUAAAUACUGAUACAGGGCUCUUUUGGGUCUUGUAAUUGGAAUGAGUACAAUUUAAUUCCCUUAACGAGGAACAAUUGGAGGGCAAGUCUGGUGCCAGCAGCCGCGGUAAUUCCAGCUCCAAUAGCGUAUAUUAAAGUUGUUGCAGUUAAAAAGCUCGUAGUUGAACCUUGGGCCUGGCUGGCCGGUCCGCCUCACCGCGUGCACUGGUCCGGCCGGGCCUUUCCCUCUGGGGAGCCGCAUGCCCUUCACUGGGCGUGUCGGGGAACCAGGACGUUUACUUUGAAAAAAUUAGAGUGUUCAAAGCAGGCUUAUGCUCGGAUACAUUAGCAUGGAAUAAUAGAAUAGGACGUGCGGUUCUAUUUUGUUGGUUUCUAGGACCGCCGUAAUGAUUAAUAGGGACAGUCGGGGGCAUCAGUAUUCAGUUGUCAGAGGUGAAAUUCUUGGAUUUACUGAAGACUAACUACUGCGAAAGCAUUUGCCAAGGAUGUUUUCAUUAAUCAGGAACGAAAGUUAGGGGAUCGAAGACGAUCAGAUACCGUCGUAGUCUUAACCAUAAACUAUGCCGACUAGGGAUCGGACGGUGUUAUUUUUUGACCCGUUCGGCAC
rnacentral:sRNA from 1 species